UUUUUUUUUUUUUUUUGACAGAGUCUCGCUCUAUCACCCAGGCUGGAGUGCAGUGGUGAGAUCUCGGCUCACUGCAAGCUCCGCCUCCUGGGUUCACACCAUUCUCCUGCCUCAGCCUCCCAAGUAGCUGGGACUACAGGCGCCCGCCACCAUGCCUGGCUAAUGUUUUUUAUUUUGUUUAGUAGAGACGGGGUUUCACUGUAUGAGCCAUGAUGGUCUCGAUCUCCUGACCCCAUGAUCUGCCCACCUCGGCCUCCCAAAGUGCUGGGAUUCCAGGCGUGAGCCACCGCGCCUGCCCCUGCAGUAUUCUUCAGUUGCAGCCUCUGUCCCAGAGAAUGACUUCCUUGGACCUCUGAAUAAGUAGGUCUAAUUCAUUCUUUCUAACUAUAUUUUUUGUACCCAAAAAACAUUCUCACUUCCCCCCUCAACCCUCUGUAAUUGAAAAAAGAAAAUUUAAGUUUUGGCCCCAGUAUUUCUCCAGUCGCAUCCUCUGUCCCCGCUAACCGCUUCCUUGGGCCUCUGUGGUGUCCGUGGCGUUGCUUGUUUGCUACUCGCUUUCUAAACUGCUGCACAGCCAUCUUUCCCCCUAUGGAAACCUCCUCACCAUCUGCUGCAGCUCAUUCAUGUGCAAAUAGUCAGGCAUUUCACAUCCAAGUUCUUUGCUGCUUCUUUGUUUCUUCUAGGGAGAGAAACAAGCUUGUGUUAUAGUUCUUGUUCUCUGUCCUUCAUAAGUUCAAAAAAUAAAUAAAUAAAAGGUAUUGUUGUGAGAUAUUUGGAAAAAUUCUUGUUCCUGGCAUCUCCCCAGUUAACAAGUGAGUCUUUUGUGGCUCUCUUUAGCCUUGCUAGGUCUGGCAGGCUAUGUUUUUGUCACAAUACCUUGAAGCCUGAGUCAGUGGCAACGUUCUGUAUCUCUUCUGGCUUCUCACAGCUGAGCAACGCAUGAGAAAAAUGCUAGUCUUCUUCACUCAGGCUUAGGGAAUGAGGCUCAAAGGGUUUUGCAAUUGAAGGCAUUUUGCUUAUGGGUAACC
rnacentral:lncRNA from 1 species